AUUGAACGCUGGCGGCAGGCCUAACACAUGCAAGUCGAGCGAGCGGCGGACGGGUGAGUAAUGUAUGGGGACUGCCCGAUAGAGGGGGAUAACUACUGGAAACGGUGGCUAAUAACGCAUACUAUCGGAUAACCCAUAUGGGAUUAGCUAGUCGGUGGGGUAAAGGCUCACCUAGGCGACGAUCUCUAGCUGGUCUGAGAGGAUGAUCAGCCACACUGUGACUGAGAAACGGCCCAGAGUCCUACGGAGUCAGCAGGGGGAAAUAUUGCACAAAGGGCGAAAGCCUGAUGCAGCCAGGCCGCGUGUAUGAAGAAGGCCUUAGGGUGGUAAAGUACUUUCAGCGGGGAGGCGUUACGCGCAGAAGAAGCACGGGCGAACUCCGUGCCAGCCGCCGCGGUAAUAC
rnacentral:rRNA from 1 species